GUGAGGUGUGACCUGAUUAAUGUGGGUGGUGAGGUGUGCCCUUAUUAAUAUGGGUGGUUUGGUGUGAGUGGACCAUUGUGGAUGGUGAGGUGUGACCUGAUCAAUAUGGGUGGUGAGGUGUGAUCUUAUUAAUAUGGGUGGUGAGGUGUGACUGGACCAAUAUGGGUGUUGAGCUGUGACAUGAUUAAUGUGGAUGCUGAAGUGUGACCUGAUCAAUAUGGGUGGUGAGGUGUGACCUGAUUGAUAAGAUGGUGAGGGGAUACCUGAUCAAUAUGGGUGGGGAGGUGUGACCUUAUUAAUAUGGGUGGUGAGGUGUGACCUGAUUAAUAUGGGUGGUGAGGUGUGACCUGAUUGAUAUGAUGGUGAGGUGUAUCUGAUUCAUAUGGGUGGUGAGGUGUGUCCUGAUCAAUAUGGGUGGUGAGGUGUGACCUGAUUAAUAUGGGUGGUGAGGUGUGCCCUUAUUAAUAUGGGUGGUUUGGUGUGAGUGGACCAUUGCGGAUGGUGAGGUGUGACCUGGUCAAAAUGGGGGGUGAGAUGUGACCUGAUCAAUAUGGGUGGUGAGGUGUGUCCUGAUUGAUGUGAUGGUGAGGUGUGACCUGAUUAAUAUGGGUGGUGAGGUGUGACCUGAUCAAUAUGGGGGGUGAGAUGUGACCCGAUCAAUAUGGGUGGUGAGGUGUGACCUGAUCAAUAUGUUGGGGUGAGAUGUAACCUGAUCAAUAUGGGUGUUGAGGUGUAACCUGAUCAAUAUGGGUGGUAAUAUGUGACCUGA
ensembl:lncRNA